rnacentral:rRNA from 1 species
GACAGAGGUGCCAAGCGUUAGGCGGAAUCACUGGGCUUAAAGCGUGUGUAGGCGGAUUUGUAAGUACCUUGUGAAAUCCCACGGCUCAACCGUGGAACUGCUCGGUAUACUGCUUAUCUUGAGCCACUUAGGGGCUACCGGAACAAAUGGUGGAGCGGUGAAAUGCGUAGAUAUCAUUUGGAACGCCAAUGGUGAAAACAGGUAGCUGGGAGUGUGCUGACGCUGAGACACGAAAGCCAGGGGAGCGAAUGGG